GAUAAACGCUGGCGGCGCACAUAAGACAUGCAAGUUGAACGGACUUAAUCGAAAUAUUUAUAUUUUGAAGCGGUUAGUGGCGGACUGGUGAGUAACGCGUAAGGAACCUGCCUAUUAGAGGGGAAUAACAGUGAGAAAUCAUUGCUAAUACCGCAUAUGCCAUAGAUAUCACAUGAUAACAGUGGGAAAGGAGCAAUCCGCUAAUAGAUGGCCUUGCGUCUGAUUAGAUAGUUGGUGGGGUAACGGCCUACCAAGUCGACGAUCAGUAGCCGGACUGAGAGGUUGAACGGCCACAUUGGGACGGAGAUACGGCCCAGACUCCUACGGGAGGCAGCAGUCGGGAAUAUUGCGCAAUGGAGGAAACUCUGACGCAGUGACGCCGCGUAUAGGAAGAAGGUUUUCGGAUUGUAAACUAUUGUCGUUAGGGAAGAGAAAGGACAGUACCUAAGGAGGAAGCUCCGGCUAACUACGUG
rnacentral:rRNA from 1 species